rnacentral:misc_RNA from 1 species
UUUCAGAGUCAGGCCACCGGCGCACGCGGGCUGUUGACCGCGUAGAAAAUCUCCCGCAGGAAGAUCGCCAGGCUCGCCACCAGGGCCACCAUUGCGAGAAUGAAGAGACUUGCGAUCAACUUGGUGAGGUCCAGCAGCACGAUC